rnacentral:lncRNA from 1 species
GCUUGAUAAACCACAAAUGCUCUGCAAGCAUAAGUUGGCAGUGUCACCCUGAGGGAGAGUCUGCAAGGCACACAAGCACCAACUCCCAGCCCUGUGAACUCUGUCUAUAGCAAGACCAAACUUCAUAGGGGCAGCUGAAAUGAAACCCACCGUCAUCAACCAGGAACUGAACUCUCAAAAGAAAUGAAGAAUCCAGGGGCAACUGCAGUCUC